rnacentral:rRNA from 1 species
GGGACACGUGGUAUCCUGUCUGAAUAUGGGGGGACCAUCCUCCAAGGCUAAAUACUCCUGACUGACCGAUAGUGAACCAGUACCGUGAGGGAAAGGCGAAAAGAACCCCGGCGAGGGGAGUGAAAAAGAACCUGAAACCGUGUACGUACAAGCAGUGGGAGCACGCUUCGGCGUGUGACUGCGUACCUUUUGUAUAAUGGGUCAGCGACUUAUAUUCUGUAGCAAGGUUAACCGAAUAGGGGAGCCGAAGGGAAACCGAGUCUUAACUGGGCGUUAAGUUGCAGGGUAUAGACCCGAAACCCGGUGAUCUAGCCAUGGGCAGGUUGAAGGUUGGGUAACACUAACUGGAGGACCGAACCGACUAAUGUUGAAAAAUUAGCGGAUGACUUGUGGCUGGGGGUGAAAGGCCAAUCAAACCGGGAGAUAGCUGGUUCUCCCCGAAAGCUAUUUAGGUAGCGCCUCGUGAAUUCAUCUCCGGGGGUAGAGCACUGUUUCGGCAAGGGGGUCAUCCCGACUUACCAACCCGAUGCAAACUGCGAAUACCGGAGAAUGUUAUCACGGGAGACACACGGCGGGUGCUAACGUCCGUCGUGAAGAGGGAAACAACCCAGACCGCCAGCUAAGGUCCCAAAGUCAUGGUUAAGUGGGAAACGAUGUGGGAAGGCCCAGACAGCCAGGAUGUUGGCUUAGAAGCAGCCAUCAUUUAAAGAAAGCGUAAUAGCUCACUGGUCGAGUCGGCCUGCGCGGAAGAUGUAACGGGGCUAAACCAUGCACCGAAGCUGCGGCAGCGACGCUGAUGCGUUGUUGGGUAGGGGAGCGUUCUGUAAGCCUGCGAAGGUGUGCUGUGAGGCAUGCUGGAGGUAUCAGAAGUGCGAAUGCUGACAUAAGUAACGAUAAAGCGGGUGAAAAGCCCGCUCGCCGGAAGACCAAGGGUUCCUGUCCAACGUUAAUCGGGGCAGGGUGAGUCGACCCCUAAGGCGAGGCCGAAAGGCGUAGUCGAUGGGAAACAGGUUAAUAUUCCUGUACUUGGUGUUACUGCGAAGGGGGGACGGAGAAGGCUAUGUUGGCCGGGCGACGGUUGUCCCGGUUUAAGCGUGUAGGCUGGUUUUCCAGGCAAAUCCGGAAAAUCAAGGCUGAGGCGUGAUGACGAGGCACUACGGUGCUGAAGCAACAAAUGCCCUGCUUCCAGGAAAAGCCUCUAAGCAUCAGGUAACAUCAAAUCGUACCCCAAACCGACACAGGUGGUCAGGUAGAGAAUACCAAGGCGCUUGAGAGAACUCGGGUGAAGGAACUAGGCAAAAUGGUGCCGUAACUUCGGGAGAAGGCACGC